rnacentral:rRNA from 1 species
GACGAACGCUGGCGGCGUGCUUAACACAUGCAAGUCGAACGGCAAGGCCCUGCUUUUUUGGUGUUCUCGAGUGGCGAACGGGUGAGUAACACGUGAGUAACCUGCCCUUGACUUUGGUAUAACUUCAGGAAACUGGGGCUACUACCGGAUAGGAUCUCCUGCUGCAUUGUGGGCGUUGGAACGUUUCGGCGGUUGGGGAUGGACUAGCGGCUUAUGAGCUUGUUGGUGGGGUAGUGGAUUACCAAGGCUUUGAAUGGUAGGCGGCCUGAGAGGGUGACCGGCCACAUUGGUACUAAGAUACGGCCCAGACUCCUACAUUAGACAACAGUGGCAAAUAUUGCACAAUGGUCGCAAGCCUGAUGCAACAACCCCGCGUUCGUAAUGACGUCCUUCUGGUUGUAAACAGCUUUCGCCUAUUACGAAGCUUUACUGACGGUAAUGAAUAAAUAAGCACCGGCUAACUACGUG